GUAUAGCCACCAAUUUCUACUGAGUAUUUAUCUACUAUAUGGCAGGUCAAGUCUGCAUUCUGGGAUAAAGUGUUGACACAAUCUUGAAUCAGUGCCUAAGGAGUUCACAAGUCCAGAGAGGGGAUAGCGCAGAGAGAAGAUAAAGCAGAUGUCCAUCCAAAGACUUGUAUGUGAAUGUUCAUAGCAACUUUAUUUGUAAUAGCCAAAACCUGAAAGCAACCCAAAUGUAUGUUAAGAAGCGAAUGGAUACAUAAAUUGUGGCAUAUGCAUACAAUGGGAUACCCAGCAAUAAAAAGGAAUGAACUAUUCAGAGAUAAGAGAGCUGAAGAAGAGUGAAAAUAAAGAAACUUCUGCAAAGCCACACAUGUGUUUAAGAUAACUACAUCUUCACAGACCAGCAUUUCUGAAGAGAAACAAGUCCACAGCUCCCCAGUCUCAUUGGAAACACAGAUAGGAAGCAAGGGACAACAGAAGCCUAGAAUUCCUGGUGAGCCAGAUUUCCAAGGCUCAAGAAAGCCAUCCAAGGAAAAUAGAAUCUCUCCUGUGCAUGCUCCUCAUUGCACUGCUGCUGAAGGACCCCAGAAAGCACUCCCCUCUGAGUUAUAUGCCCUGGGGAUAAUUGGCAUUGCUGGACUGAAGUUUGGCAGGACAUCCUGUUCCAGAAGGAAGCAGAACAGAGUACAGCCUGCUGUGGACAGUUCCUUUUUGUCUCAGGAUGCUUCAUUCGCAGCAUAUUCUACAAUUAUUCUGAGAGCUACAAGCAAGAAAGACGAGGGAGAACUGGGUUAGCUAAUUAUUACAGUAGGAACAGAGGCAACAGCAACAUGGGUGGCUGGCAGUGAUAGAAAGGAUUUUAGUUUUGAUACAUGGAAUUUGACAUGCUUUUUGAAAAUCUUCAGAUGGUGAUGUACUGGUAUGAAAGAUUGGAACUACGCGGAACUCCAAAUUCAUAGUUGGUUCUCACCAUUAAACAUUUGCUGAUUUCUGGGGACAGAUAGGAAUUCUAAUAGGCAUAGCUGGCAAAGUGAAGGGAAGUCUCCCACAGUCUCAUAUUACUUGAAAAACAAAGUUCCAUUAAAAAGAAGAAGAUGGCUGUCAACAAAUUAGUAAUAGGCAAAUGGUGGAUAGGAAGCAGGACUAAAUUGCAGCUCCCACUCAGACAGAGAGUAGCUUGUGGAGACUCACAUUGUGAACUUUUGCUCCCAGAACUACUGCAGGAACAUAUGAGGAAAGAUGAGAGAAUCCACAGACUCUUUGAAGGAAGCAGAUUGCUCCUGCAGGGCCUGGGAGACAACCAAACACGGGGUCCUUAGGGAGAGGUGCCAGAGGAAUUGGAAAAAGGCCACAGGCAGAAGGAAGGCUCCAGCUAAACUUCUUGAGGUCUGGAUUGGAAACGCUGUCUGGUAACAGUAGGAGUGAGAUUGACCCAUCAUUUGGAUGACCCGAAACCACAGAUGCAAUAGAAGAAUGGAACAAAUUUGUACAUUUUGUCAAUAAAAACUUUAUCUUC
rnacentral:lncRNA from 10 species